GUGCACCAGGCGAGAAAACUUUACAAUGUGCGAAAGCACGAUAAGGGAACUCUGAGUGCCUCCUAAGGAGGCUGUUCAGGUGUCUAAAAAGCACCUGGAGUAAGGGCUGGGUAAGACCGGUGCCAGCCGCCGCGGUAACACCGGCAGCCCAGGUGGUAGCCACUUUUAUUGGGUCUAAAGCGUCCGUAGCCGGUUGAGUAAGUUCCUUGGGAAAUUUGGCUGCUCAACAGUCAAGCUUCCAGGGAAUACUGCUCGACUUGGGACUGGGAGAGGUCAGAGGUACUCCAGGGGUAGGGGUGAAAUCCAUUAAUCCCUGGGGGACCACCGGUAGCGAAGGCGUCUGACCAGACCAGGUCCGACGGUGAGGGACGAAGGCUAGGGGCGCGAACCGGAUUAGAUA
rnacentral:rRNA from 1 species